AUUGAACGCUGGCGGCAUGCCUUACUCAUGCAAGUCGAACGGUAACAGGUUAAGCUGACGAGUGGCGAACGGGUGAGUAAUGUAUCGGAACGUGCCCAGUCGUGGGGGAUAACUGCUCGAAAGAGCAGCUAAUACCGCAUACGACCUGAGGGUGAAAGCGGGGGAUCGAAAGACCUCGCGCGAUUGGAGCGGCCGAUAUCAGAUUAGGUAGUUGGUGGGGUAAAGGCCCCCCAAGCCAACCAUCGGUAGCUGGUCUGGGGGGACGACCAGCCACACUGGGAAUGAGACAAGGCCCCGACUCCUACGGGAGGCAGCAGUGGGGAAUUUUGGACAAUGGGCGCAAGCCUGAUCCAGCCAUGCCGCGUGCGGGAAGAAGGCCUUCGGGUUGUAAGCCGCUUUUGUCAGGGAAGAAAAGGUUCUGGUUAAUACCUGGGACUCAUGACGGUACCUGAAGAAUAAGCACCGGCUAACUACGUGCCAGCAGCCGCGGUAA
rnacentral:rRNA from 1 species